rnacentral:rRNA from 1 species
GUAGGGAAUAUUGGGCAAUGGAGGCAACUCUGACCCAGCCAUGCCGCGUGCAGGAAGAAGGCGCUACGCGUUGUAAACUGCUUUUAACCGGGAAGAAACCCCAGGACGUGUCCUGGGUUGACGGUACCGGAGGAAUAAGCACCGGCUAACUUCGUGCCAGCAGCCGCGGUAAUACGAAGGGUGCAAGCGUUAUCCGGAUUCAUUGGGUUUAAAGGGUGCGUAGGCGGAGCGUUAAGUCAGUGGUGAAAUCCUGCAGCUUAACUGUAGACUUGCCAUUGAUACUGGCGCUCUUGAGUGCGCUUGAAGUGGGCGGAAUGUGCCGUGUAGCGGUGAAAUGCUUAGAUAUGGCACAGAACACCAAUUGCGAAGGCAGCUCACUAAGGCGAUACUGACGCUGAGGCACGAAAGCGUGGGGAUCGAACAGGAUUAGAAACCCGGGUAGUCC